rnacentral:rRNA from 1 species
UGCUAGAAACGAUGAUGUUGGUGUCGCACAUUAGACUUGUGUUUAAAUAGAGCUUUGCUCGUGAACCAAAUAUGGUGGGCUGGGUUGUCUUUGUGGAAACGCUUAGGCGACUUGUCUACGAAUUGUAAUCAUAAUAUGGGCGGCGGUGAAUCCUUUGCAGACGACUUGAAUGGGAACGGGGUACUGUAAGUGGUAGAGUAGCCUUGUUGCUACGAUCCACUGAGGUUAAGCCCUUGUUCUAAAGAUUUGUUC